GAUGAACGCUGGCGGCGUGCUUAAUACAUGCAAGUCGAACGAACAUUAAGAGUGCUUGCACUUUUAAUGUUAGUGGCGAACGGGUGAGUAAUACAUAGGCAACUUGCCCCAAGGACUGGGAUAACACUUAGAAAUGACUGCUAAUACCGAAUGUUGUAGAGUUUCCACAUGGAAAUCCUACUAAAGGUGGCCUCUACUUGUAAGCUAUCGCUUUACGAUGGGUCUGCGUCUGAUUAGCUAGUUGGUGGGGUAACGGCCUACCAAGGCGACGAUCAGUAGCCGGUCUGAGAGGAUGAACGGCCACAUUGGAACUGAGACACGGUCCAG
rnacentral:rRNA from 1 species